AGACAAACUUUACUAAAACGAUCAUAGGAAUAUUUUUCUUACGGCACUAGGUCAUUUCUGUUCAAGAAUACCAAAUUAUGUGUGUCUGACAUUAUGUCAACAUGUUUGUUUGUGUGUGUGUUUCUGUGUAGCUGUGUGUCUGUGUGUCUGUUGGUGUGAAAAGAAAAGAUAGAGAGAGGGACAGAGCCAGGAGUGAAUUUCUGAGUGAAUUAUGUGUGACAUACAAUGAAACUAGAUCAGGUCUGUAGAGCUAUUGAGCGAGAGUGAGAGGGUACAGUCAUUCAGCAAGUGCGACCAUGCCCUACCUGCUGGGGGACAAAAUCUCUUAAACAAACUUACAACCCCUUCCAAGGUUCCCAAAUACAUUCAAAGUCUUUGUUACAAUUCAGGAGAGUUAGCACUCCAAAGUCUGAAUUUCUCCCGUCUCCACUGGAUGAUCCCGAGAAGCUCAACCAAAGAAGAACCAUCCCGAUCUCGAUCUUUCUGUUGCAUGACUUUAUAUACCUUUCUCCUCUCUCUCAUUCUCUCAAACCAAACUGCUGUGUGUUAACACAAUUAAGUGUGUGUGUGCCGGUUACUUCAAUUCAAUUCAAUUCAAUUUCAAUUGGCUGUAGGGAGGUGGGGCAUGUAGUGAGAGCCUGCCCUGGGAAGAAUCAGACUGUCCAGUCGCUUGUUCCACUGAUUCAGAAUGGUCCUGGUAUGGUGGGCCAACUUCAGGCCCAGCAGAGAGGCUUCUGCCUCCGUGUUCUGGAGACCAGGAACAGCAGCCUCCACGAUCCCCUCAGUUUUAUUACGCCGGCUCUCGUCAGGCUCUCGAUGAGUCUGGGUCUGCUGCCAUCGUGGAGAUCCAGCCAGGCCCCCCACACCAGAGGCUCCUCCAGGAGCCAGAACAGAGAUGCUGCAGGUUCCAGUCUGGUCCAUUUAAAAAGUGUCCAUGCUUUAAAAAGUCCUUGAUAAAAAUGAGGCAGUUUACACAAAGGGAUAAAACCACAGUCCACUAAAAACAAUGAAGCAUCGAGACUCAGACCUGCUACCCCCCUUAAAAAGGUGCUGGUUACUGGCCUCCAGCUGGUGUGAGAGAUGAGAUGUUUCAUCCGAGGAGACUUGCUGGCUUGACAGUUUCCUGAACGGAGACAUUAUCAUACCAUAUUUGCACAACUCCCUCCGCAGAUAGUCAUCCCCGAUGAACGGGGGGAUGUUGGAGACCGUGACUCUCGUAGCCGGUGUCACUAGCGAAGUCCCGGAAACAAACGCGUCAUUGAUGACAAUCCCCGACUCCACCACCGUGUUCGCCACGCUCCCCACAAACAUUACGACCCCACCGUUCAUCCGGGAGGCCGACUUGACGCUGCUAUCGCCGAUUAAGUCCCCCACUGCAUGGCAGCAGUCAUCAACCGUGCACGGGAAUCCCGGAGACACUUUGAUCCCGUGCGCACGAGUCAGCAUGGUGAAGAGAUGGAGAGAUGGGAGCUGGUUCCAGAGGAGAGGAGCGUGGUGGCUGAAGGCUCUGCCUCCCAUUCUACUUUUACACACUCUGGGAACCACAAGUACAGAGCCAAGUGAUCUAUUGGGGUAAUUUGGAACUGUGAGCUCUGUAAAAUAUGAUGAAGCUUGAUUAUUAAUGGCUUUGUAGCUGAGGAGCAGGUUUUUAAUUAUAUUCUGAAUUUUACAGGAAGCCAAUGCAGAGAUGCUAACACUAGAGAAAUAUGAUCUCUUUUUCUAGUUCCUGUCAGCCAAGUCUGAACAUUUCUUCGGGUACGACCAUAUUUGUCCACGUCCUGUUGAGCAUCCUGUCAACUUAUGUCUCAAUAUAUUUUCAACAAAAGGUUCCUGUUUCACAUGCUUCCUGUUCAACAGUAUUACUGUACAGCCUUAGCUCGGCUACAGUUCAACUCUUUCUCAACAACUUUUUCUGGUUUCAUUAUGAGAUCAUUAGAAUAGCAGAACAUACUCUUUUAUUACAUUUAAUCACCAUCACAACAUUCCCGUUUAUUGAAAUAAUGCCACUAAAUACUCUUAUAUGGUAUUAAAUCAUAGACAGGACUAGAUGAUAUGUCCUUUUUCACUUGCGGUUAUGGAGAUAGUACUGUGGAGAUCUCAACUCAUUUGACAGAUGCCACACUGUAGUUUAAAUAUUAUAAUAUUAAACAAAAAAACACAAGUAACUUGAAUUCAAUUCAAUAUUUAGAUGAUGAUUUCAUUUCACCCUCAGUUUAUAAAUCAACCAAUUGAUCUAGUUGAAUUGAUAAUUGGGUUCAAUGUCAGUAGCCACAUCUGUUCAAUCUAAAUACCACUUAAACAGAACCUGUCUGGCAAUGUAGGCUAAAAGGUCCCUAAAAGGAACACAUGAUGAUUCUGACUACAGAAAUUCAAGAACAGUUGCAAAACAGACUCAUUGAAAUCCAUCAGUCUGGAAAGGGUGACAAAGCCAUUGCCAAGGAGAGGCCACCCAACCAAAGUUCCUCCAAGAGUGCCUCAGUUCAAUCCAGAGAGGCAAGUCAGUGAGAAAUAACUAUUUAUUACAGAUUUGACAGAUGAUAUGUGAUAACAAAGUCUCGAUAGAGUCUUGGCCCUUCGACUGAAUGGGAAAAUAAUGUAGUUGUGGGUAUCUACCCUGAACAGUGGCAAAAUAAAUCCCCCCAUGGAGUCCAGACACUCGUGGUGAUGGUGGUUCAUGACUUGCUCGACAGUGAUGGGAAAAUGGAGGGCGUAACAGCAGUAUGAAAGAACUAAGGCAGAGAGAGAAAUCCUAUUUAAAAAGACAGCAGCAAGAUGAUAUGGUCACAAGGCAGGUGUGUUGCAGUGCUUUUGGAAUUGAUAAGACCCGUUGAUGAACAGCUGAUCACUGAAAUGAAAGCCCAGGGAAAUGACGGCAAGAAACGGUGUAUGCAGGAAAGGAAAAUGAGAAUUAAACUAUGACCAAAGCAUGAAAAAUAGCGUUCAGACUCAAUGAGUAUUAUAGUCGAGGACAUAUGUCCUGAUCAGCAGCAAAAAUAAAUCUGACAUAAAAAAGGGCGAAUAUCCCCUGAGGACACCCUAAUAUCUACCCCAAAACAGAAUGCUCACUUACCAAGGAGGGAAGAACAAACAAACCGUGAUUGAUCAAACAGGAUGCUACAAUCAGCUAGGUAUGAAAGAAAACAACAGUUGAACAUGAAUUAAUAAAUUGACAGAAAUGAUACCCUUUCCAAAUAAUUUUAAAUUUUUAUGAAAACCUAAAAUUCCAGAUAUGACCAAGAGGGGAGAGAGUGCAAUUAGAUGAUAAGUGAGACAAACACCACGAGCCACCAGUUAUAUGCAAUUGCUUACAAUAUGCAGUUAGAGAUUUUUGAGCUACGAUUUUCGCAGCAGCAUCAUAACAUGUUGAAGGCAAAGGCAUAGGAUUACCAAAGGCUCAGUUGUUGAAGAGAAACUGUUGAUAUACUGUGUAAGGCUGCAGAAGUAAUGUUAAUAAUGCUUUGGGGGAAUGUUACGUUUCAGGAGAGCCCACUCUAAACGAUAGGUGAACCAGGAUUUGGGAAUGGGAUUAUUAUCUGGGUCAGAAAAAAGAGCAGCACUAGGGGAAGAAAGAGGCCUAUUCUUUAAAUAUUUGAACAUGGAUUUAAAAGGACAGAACUGAGUAUUGGUGAUAGCUUUGGAGUGUUUAAAGAAAAAACUAAAGAAAUCUGGAUGAAAAGUUAAAUCCGAAAAUUUCUGGUCUGAAGCAGUAGUAAAUUCACCACUUCUUAAAAACCCAUAAAAAGCUAGUAGAGAAGAACUAUCCUCUCAAAACUGUAAAAUUUCAUGCAGCUAGACAUAUUGAUAGGCAGCCUAUUAUCCAUGUUAGAAGGAGAUACUUGCCUUUAAAUAGCAGUUUGGUCGGGUUGGAAAAUAGGCUGGGAAAAGAUGGGUCAGGACAUCUAACUUUGAACUGGAUACCAGCAACUCAACCUUUAAUAUAAUAAGGCUUGACCAUGCAGGCAUGACAAAUAAAUAUCUCCAACGCUGUUUUUGCAUAAAACCCCAAUGCAAUUAAGAGCUGCAGCGCAGAUUAAUAAGCAGUAUGGUGGUACGAUACAAACCGCAAAUCCUGUGAUCUCUUCAAUAAGUUGAAAUAGAUCUCUCCUACAGAAUCAAAACUGCUCAGCCAAUCAGCUCCUCAACACUGUAACUGUCCAGUGGAUUGCUUUGGCCUUAAUAACUCUUCUUGUUUAAAUGCCAUGCAUAUUUAACGCACAGUUCGAAUUCAAAGUCUUAGCACUAAAAUGUCAAGACUUUGACCUGAAUUAAUCAACAACACUACUAAAUACUCAUAUAACAGUAAAUGUUCUCACGAUCAAUAAUGCUUUUUGUUCGAUCGCAGGAUUUGCAGUAUAAAUAAAACUUUGGCCUAUUUUUUUUGUAUGCAUAGUAGCAGGCCCUCAUGCAGAACAUAUUUUUAUAUUUUAACAGGAUUCCUGAUAAUGGCUUAUGCUGUUUGUAAUGGAAAAAUGAUGCAGUUGAAUCAGGAAGUCAGAUACCGUGGAUGUUUUAAGCAGAAGUAUUUAUUACAAGGAGCUCAACGUUGAGGAGAUCUCUGGUUCGUUACACAGAUCAACAAGCGGUGCGUCUUGCAAGAUGUGACCUAAAUUCUGGGACUUUGACAUCCCAAGACUGUCUUCAGCUAGCCAAAGAUAAGAUGACCUAGCACAGGCAAAUCAAACACUCAUCUUUGCAGUCUCACAGAGAGGAGAGGAGAGAAGAUAAAUUCCCAGACACUGUUGACAAUUAUGCUACUAUUUGUGCUAUGGCUAUUGCACACGUAUUCCCAAUAAAGCCCCUAUAGAAGUACAUGAGGGUGUUAUGUGAAAAAUUAUUUCACAGUAUCUAUGUUCACAUAUUUGAUCAUAUCCUAUCUGAUAUGAUUACUUUAUUAUACUCUAUGUAUUGUAAUAUUUAAGACAAAGACACAUAAGGUGGUGCAUUUUGUUAUGUUAAAAUGGAAUCUCAAUAGUUUACCCUGAACUGUACACAAGGCAUGUGAACUACAUCAAAUUAUUUUAAACCAGUUAAUCAAAACAAUUGUUAUGAUAUUACCCUUUAAAAAAAUGUUUUAUACUGAGCUGCCACCAGGAUCAGAACUGACUGACCCUCAACAUCCCCCAUAAUGAGGCUUCAUUAAUUAUUUGCUCUGACCUACUGAUCUGCCAGUAAAAAUGUUGCAGGAGGUCUUAUAUAAAUGUAAACUACGUAUCAAAUCUGUACUCAGUAGUAAUGUUGAAAACUAUUAUAGAUUUUCUUGGUUGCAUUUUUGUCCACAACAAAUUUUUAAAACAGUUUACACAGGCUGAAACAGAAGAGCAAUGUGUGCUCUUCCUCUGUGAAAUACGCUGCACAGGCUUGUGCCGCCGAACACGCCCCCUCUAACCAUGCGCUCAUGCACGCCCACACUCCGGGUAAGUUAAAAGUUAUCCAACUUCAAGGGGCAGUAGGCAAUUUUGGAAAAAGUCUGUCUUGUUGUUGUUGACAAUUUUACUGCACUGAGUGCCAUGACCAUCAUAGUGUUUGUCUCUCGCAAGUCUCUUAAAGCUGUAGUCUGUAGGAUUUGUAAAAAUAACUUUUUUUCAUAAAUGUCACUAUAUCCUGGUAGUAAUAUAUGAGACAGAGUGUGAUUGACAGAGAGUCUGUCAAUCAUCCGGGUAUGCGCUGCGCAGCGCUGCAGAACCUGUGAACACACUCACUUGCUUGUUCAAGACCAAGCUCACGUCUUAGAAACAAGGAGCUAGCAGCAGAAGCGGAAUUAGUUUGAAAACAGUGGGAGAGAAAGCAUAACCCAAGCAUCGAAAAAACUGCCCACCUCUUUGGCCAGAAACUGCAUAUAUGACAAAGACCACGAGCAAAAACUUAAAAGAAGCAAGGAGAUCAAGCAGAGAGAAGACCUGUGUAUAUAUUGGAGUGGCGGUCCACAGAUGAGAGAGCUGCGAGAAUGAAAGGAUUCACAAACGAUGCGUUCUGCUUGACUGGUAAUUAUCCCUGUUUCAUUUAUCUAUUAUUUUCCAUUUUAUUGUAGCACUCUGUAACCAUGCCGUAUGCUACUGUUUUGUUGUAAUCAGAUUGCUAUUUGCUAGGGUCAUAGUGCUAUCUAUGGCUAUUGGUUAGCAGUGUUUAUGGCAUAGUGGCUGAAAAUAUUUUUGUGUCCAAGCAGUCUAAUCGGUUUUGAGAGUUUUCCAGACGUGUGUGCCGUUGCCUGUGCUCUCGCGGCUAAAUGCUCCCCAUCGUACUGUUUAGUUAGCAUCACUAUUCAUCACCAAACGUAGCAUCCCGUGCUAUGCUAAAUGCUAAGUAUGUGACGAUAUUCCCAGCUGUGGCUACAGUCAAGUUCACGUAGGCCUACUUGAUUUGAAAAUUCACUCAUCACUUACGUAUUUAUUCAUCAAUGCAGAGCAGACUGGCAAAUUAUUUAUUUUUAUGUGUAAUCUCCUGUGUGUCUAUCACACGCAGCAGCGUUUCAAGACAAAGAUGAAGUUCCUGUGUAGUGUUUACACACUAUUGAGAAAGUGUAAGGGUUUUUUCCCGAAGCGAGACUCCACUUUGGCCAUGCGCAAACGUAAAAUGCACAUACCCCUGCGUUGAAAUCAAGCAGUAAGAGGAGAACAGCACAUUAUUAGACAUUUUGUUCGACACUGAUAAUCAUGACUACAGAUAAUGUACUCAAAUGAUUUAUUCCGCUCAUAGUAUUUCGACUUAAAAAAUUUGUAAGGAGGAAUAUUUUUUCCUGGAUCAUAGUUUCACAUACUCAUGUUGCUUUUCUACACAGAUGAUGAUUUUGCUGGGGGCAUAGGUGAAGGAGCAAGGUUGCUUUGUGGGGGUUCUGCUUCUUGGGGAGGCUGUUGAUGGCCCUGUCUAGAAUGGAGAGAGUUGUCUCUUUGAUGGUGGGAAUGUGGUGUCAAACCAGGUCGUCUCCAAAACUUCACUAAAAUACUUCAGGUCAACUGGAGUCCUCCUUUGAUCACAUCCUGAUGUACUGUAUGCCAGCAUCAUUCCUUCAGUCUAUGAAGGCAGAAUCUUACUGGCUGGCUCAGACUACAACCACCAUGUCCACAGACCAACCAAAAGAACACCUGACGGCUCCAUACAUGUUAAAAGGAAAAGACCACAGACCAGACACUUCCCUAGAGGUGAUGCCUUGGAUUAGCAUCCAGAUGAAUCAGGAAACAAAUCCUGCAACUAUGUUCAAACAUUAAAUGUGCAGAUCCAAAUACAUUAGUCUACCUGAGUAUUAUAAAUAUUCAACGCACCUCCUUUGUAUUUUAUUAAUGUGCCAAAUAAAGCUUGACUAUAUGUGUGAUGUUAUGGUGUUGACUUGUUGCUCUGAGCUAACAAGCUAAGCUAACAACAAUUGGCUGAGUUACUAAGCCAGCUCAGGUAUUUGGUCAUUCAACCACAGAUAGUUUGACAGUCCUGCUUUAUUAUAAAAGUAUUUCAUUUUAUUCUGUUCUAAUUUAUUUAUUUUAAGUUAUAUCUUGCUUUGCUGGUAUAAUGUCUGUUAGAGUGUAAAAAAAUGUUCAAAGUUAUAUAAAUAUUGAUACAUUUUUACUUUUGUUAUUGAUUUUUCUCCUAGAAAAUCCAGACAAAAAAGUAAAAUUUAUUUAAGUUAUACUGUGCUUUGCUGGUAUAAUGUCUGCUAGAAUUUUUAAAAAAUGGUCAGUGUUUUAUAAAUGUUGAUACAUUUUUACUUUUGUUGUUGAUGUUUUUCCUAGAAAACCCAGACAAAAAAGCACAUUGAGGCUAUUUCUUUUAUGCAAUGGUGAAGAAUGUGGCAAAAUAAAUUAAAAAAUUAAAAACGUUAAAAUGUUUAA